UACAGGUAUUUAAAAAAAUAACUGAACCAUUUUCAAGUCUUUCAGGCCUUCAUAGCACAACAUUUACCAAGUGCAGAAUCGAUGCAACAUAACAGAUAAACAUCACCAAUGGCAAUCGGUAAAUGUAUUAUAAAUUUGCCGAUAGGCG